rnacentral:lncRNA from 1 species
CUCCCGAGACUUCCUGGGACUCUGCUGUCUGCCGGUCACCUUCCUCCUGUGCCUGCGAGUCUGACGGGCAGGAGCCUUAAGCCCGAGCCCGCGAGCCCCGUAGUUAAUGCGGUGAUGGUGCCCGGCGCUCGUAAGUAGGGCAGCUGUCCUGUUCUCCUCCCCUUGCACAGCAUCGUCUUGGUCCUCACCCCACCUGCUCAAGCAGGUGUUAUUCUUCUCCUCAUUCUGCAGCUGCGGAAGUGGAGGCCUGUCACCCACCUGGAAUGUGGCAGAACCGGGACUUCGCCCCAGGUCCUCACUCCGGGCCAGCGCCCUCCCUCAGCACCGGCCCUGAGCUCCCAGCGACUCCCUCCUCACGUCCUACUCUUGGGAGCUCGGUGUCCAAAGUGCUAAAGCAGUUCCUUUAAAAAACAGCAAAAUACUUGCACUUUCUCCCAAAGUAGGCAAACAGCUUCACACUCGUGCACCAGUCUAAGACUUGGAAGAGCAAGCAACCCUCCCAAAACUCCUGUCCGCUUCCUGGUCGCCAUGCCACGAGCAGCUCUCCUCUGCCCAGGCCCUUCCGCUAUGUCGCCCUGCCUCGAGCCAGCUGACCAUGGACUGAGACUUCUGAAACAGCCUAGGGACUCACAGAGACUGGAACUUCCUGGAGAGUUUCCACCCUCUCAAGAGAAGCACAGAUGCCAUACCCUGAUGACAAAAAGAAAAGCCAGGAUGGAGAACUGGAGCCCACCCUACUGGCAUAAAAAUUUUGCAGGUUCACUAACGCCUGUGGAAAAAGAAUUUUCAGGACACAUCAGUAAAGGAUCAAAGGGAUUAAGUAGAAUUUUAAAAAUACACACUCAAAGAAAUAGGGUGCAGGCCCUCAAGAGAGAGAGGCCUAUCAGUCUGGGACUGGGUAUGUUUAUGGGGACUUUCGGGUAAAAAUCUGUCUAAUCUAUAAAUGUAUGGAAAGAGGAGCUAAAAUACGGAGGAAGGGAUGGUGGCUCAUUCGCAGGUGACAGCCCUCAUUGGUGAUAGGGGAAAAAAUUCAUUUUGUAAGUGAAAAAAAAUAGCCAAGCCCACUUCCAUGUAGAAAGGAAUGGCCCAGACUUACCCUGUCUUUAAAGACCAUAGAAAUAUUUUUGGACUGGGUUUGUGUUCUGAACCCACAGUUUUUAUUAAAAGCACAAUUUUGUUUGUAUGUUUUGAGAUAGGGUCUUGCUAUGUAGUUCAGGCUGGCCUUGAACCCACUAUGUAGCUCAAGCUGGCCUCAGACCCACAGCAAUCCUCCUGCCUCAGCUUCCGGAGUCCUGAGAUUACAGGUGUGCACCAUCACACCCAGCUCUCAAAGUAUACUUCUAAAAUUAUGAUUUUCCUUGUAUCCUUUUUACCUAUCUUUAUUUUUUUCUAUUGUACCUCAGAACGUACUACUGGAAAAGAUACUGGAAUGGCAGGGCCAUAUCCCACUGGGAUGAAGAAAAACACUGUGCAUAGAGAGGGUGGGGUGUGAGCAACUGCAUUUAAAAGAUACCAAGGUGAGGAAAUAAAAGAUAUAAAGGAAAGGAAGUAGAGCUCCCGCUAGCCAGGAGGGGGUCCCAGGAUGGCUCUUUGUCUAGGAGACUUUAAGGGGUUUAGAAGGGAGCUCGGGCACUUGUAUAGGGAGAUUGUUAUACAAUCUCCCUAUAGGAGAUUACUGGCUUUUCAGGGUCCAAUCCCUGCAGUGUUCACGAAGUAUCUAUGCAGGGCCUGAGCCAAUGGCCUGGCUGAUCACAGUCCCGGGAGGUCCUGGACAGGGAAGGACACCUGGCAGGUGUCUCUGUAAGCUCCCUGGAGGUCAUGACCCAGCAGGCUGCACUUGGGGGCAAUGUGCUCACGGCCCUAAUAGAAUCUUGAGUGCUGUCCCACUACUUCGUGUCUCAGGGUCACCUCAGUUUGUAGGGUGAGCUAGCACCCUCUGUGAUACUGACAGACGACGUCCCUCCCAGAUUUCCCCUCUCCCUCUUGUCUUUUCUCUGGCCAAUACCUGCAUGUGUACAAUAGAGCAGUUAAUAACCAACAUGGGGUGCAUGCAUAGACGCAGAGAAGAUGACAUCUUCACUGUUAUUCACCUCUUGGGGAUCCAGCAUUUCCUCCCCUUCUGAAUACAGGCCCAAAAUAAAUAAAUGAAGCCACAGUCGUGGUAGCAAUACCUGUGGCUCUGCAACUCCGGUUUUACAGCACUCAGGGAGUCUUCAGGUAUUUCCAUUCCACUGUACAUGUGUUAGACUUGCCAUGACCUCUGGCAGCUUAACAUGCAUGUAACAAAGCAAACAGAUUACUAAUAUGAUUCUGUGCUUCAGUCACUUUUUCAGUAUGUGGCUUUCUUUUGGGCUUCUGGUAUUAUCAUUUAUGCAUUGAAAAAUCUUAUUUGGAAGCAGUCAAAGAUUUUACCUAAUUGACAGGAAGUUGCAUUGGCAGGGUGACCGAGAACUUACCAGUGUUCAGGGCUAAAAACAAGGCUGAAGGGCCGGGGAUUUAGCUCAGUGGUUUCAUCGCCUGCUGUACAAGCACAAGGACCCAAAUUCAAUCCCUGGUACCAAAAAAAUAAAUAAAAUAAAAUAAAAUAAAAAUAAAAACAAGCCUGGGCUGGAGUGAAGACAGUUGUCCCUGGGUGUCCCCAGAUCCCUGAAAAUGCCCAAAUCCGCAAAGCUCAAACCUUUCUAUAAA